UCCGGAUUUAUUGGGCGUAAAGCGAGCGCAGGCGGUUUUUUAAGUCUGAUGUGAAAGCCUUCGGCUCAACCGAAGAAGUGCAUCGGAAACUGGGAAACUUGAGUGCAGAAGAGGACAGUGGAACUCCAUGUGUAGCGGUGAAAUGCGUAGAUAUAUGGAAGAACACCAGUGGCGAAGGCGGCUGUCUGGUCUGUAACUGACGCUGAGGCUCGAAAGUAUGGGUAGCAAACAGGAUUAGAUACCCUGGUAGUCCAUACCGUAAACGAUGAAUGCUAAGUGUUGGAGGGUUUCCGCCCUUCAGUGCUGCAGCUAACGCAUUAAGCAUUCCGCCUGGGGAGUACGGCCGCAAGGCUGAAACUCAAAGGAAUUGACGGGGGCCCGCACAAGCGGUGGAGCAUGUGGUUUAAUUCGAAGCUACGCGAAGAACCUUACCAGGUCUUGACAUACUAUGCAAAUCUAAGAGAUUAGACGUUCCCUUCGGGGACAUGGAUACAGGUGGUGCAUGGUUGUCGUCAGCUCGUGUCGUGAGAUGUUGGGUUAAGUCCCGCAACGAGCGCAACCCUUAUUAUCAGUUGCCAGCAUUAAGUUGGGCACUCUGGUGAGACUGCCGGUGACAAACCGGAGGAAGGUGGGGAUGACGUCAAAUCAUCAUGCCCCUUAUGACCUGGGCUACACACGUGCUACAAUGGAUGGUACAACGAGUUGCGAACUCGCGAGAGUAAGCUAAUCUCUUAAAGCCAUUCUCAGUUCGGAUUGUAGGCUGCAACUCGCCUACAUGAAGUCGGAAUCGCUAGUAAUCGCGGAUCAGCAUGCCGCGGUGAAUACGUUCCCGGGCCUUGUACACACCGCCCGUCACACCAUGAGAGUUUGUAACACCCAAAGUCGGUGGGGUAACCUUUUAGGAACCAGCCGCCUAAGGUGGGACAGAUGAUUAGGGUGAAGUCGUAACAAGGUAGCCGUAGGAGAACCUGCGGCUGGAUCACCUCCUUUCUAAGGA
rnacentral:rRNA from 1 species